AUGAACGCUAGCUACAGGCUUAACACAUGCAAGUCGAGGGGCAGCAUGAACUUAGCUUGCUAAGUUUGAUGGCGACCGGCGCACGGGUGAGUAACACGUAUCCAACCUGCCGAUGACUCGGGGAUAGCCUUUCGAAAGAAAGAUUAAUACCCGAUGGCAUAGUUCUUCCGCAUGGUAGAACUAUUAAAGAAUUUCGGUCAUCGAUGGGGAUGCGUUCCAUUAGGUUGUUGGCGGGGUAACGGCCCACCAAGCCUUCGAUGGAUAGGGGUUCUGAGAGGAAGGUCCCCCACAUUGGAACUGAGACACGGUCCAAACUCCUACGGGAGGCAGCAGUGAGGAAUAUUGGUCAAUGGACGAGAGUCUGAACCAGCCAAGUAGCGUGAAGGAUGACUGCCCUAUGGGUUGUAAACUUCUUUUAUACGGGAAUAAAGUGAGGCACGUGUGCCUUUUUGUAUGUACCGUAUGAAUAAGGAUCGGCUAACUCCGUGCCAGCAGCCGCGGUAAUACGGAGGAUCCGAGCGUUAUCCGGAUUUAUUGGGUUUAAAGGGAGCGUAGGCGGACGCUUAAGUCAGUUGUGAAAGUUUGCGGCUCAACCGUAAAAUUGCAGUUGAUACUGGGUGUCUUGAGUACAGUAGAGGCAGGCGGAAUUCGUGGUGUAGCGGUGAAAUGCUUAGAUAUCACGAAGAACUCCGAUUGCGAAGGCAGCUUGCUGGACUGUAACUGACGCUGAUGCUCGAAAGUGUGGGUAUCAAACAGGAUUAGAUACCCUGGUAGUCCACACAGUAAACGAUGAAUACUCGCUGUUUGCGAUAUACAGUAAGCGGCCAAGCGAAAGCGUUAAGUAUUCCACCUGGGGAGUACGCCGGCAACGGUGAAACUCAAAGGAAUUGACGGGGGCCCGCACAAGCGGAGGAACAUGUGGUUUAAUUCGAUGAUACGCGAGGAACCUUACCCGGGCUUGAAUUGCAACUGAAUGAUGUGGAGACAUGUCAGCCGCAAGGCAGUUGUGAAGGUGCUGCAUGGUUGUCGUCAGCUCGUGUCGUGAGAUGUUGGGUUAAGUCCCGCAACGAGCGCAACCCCUAUUGUUAGUUGCUACGCAAGAGCACUCUAGCGAGACUGCCGUUGACAAAACGGAGGAAGGUGGGGACGACGUCAAAUCAUCAUGCCCCUUAUGCCCAGGGCUACACACGUACUACAAUGGCCGAUAACAAAGUGCAGCGAAACCGUGAGGUGGAGCGAAUCACAAAACUCGGUCUCAGUUCAGAUUGCAGGCUGCAACUCGCCUGCAUGAAGUCGGAAUUGCUAGUAAUCGCGGAUCAGCAUGCCGCGGUGAAUACGUUCCCGGGCCUUGUACACACCGCCCGUCACACCAUGAGAGUUGGGGAUACCCGAAGCCUGUGAGCCAACAGUUAAAUGAGGCAGCAGUCGAAGGUAGAAUCAAUGAUUGGGGUG
rnacentral:rRNA from 1 species